rnacentral:tRNA from 1 species
GGGGAUGUAACUCAAUGGUAGAGUGCUUGCCUACCAUGCACAAGGCCCUGGGUUUGAUACCCAGUAUGCACG